rnacentral:lncRNA from 1 species
AAAAUUAGUUACAAACCAACUGGAUAGGUGGAAAUUUGAAGAGACAUUGACUAUAUUUCUGUUUCCUACAGGUCAUCAGAUUAUGGGACUUCAUACAUCAAACUCAAUUUACAGCCUGGCAUCACCACAGUGAUUGACAACUUCUACAUAUGCCCUACAAACAAGAGAAAGUUUCAGAUGCAGACAGUUCUCUGAUAAUUCACCUGCCUUCUGUUUUGGGAACGAGACCUGGAGGUCCAAAAAUGGGCAGAAAUUCCCUUUCACAGUUCACUAGCCCAAUAAAGCCCUGCAGUGAGUAUCUUAUCCUACUUCUGCAUCUUUCUGUUCUUCUGAAGUGGCCAAAAAGGUUAUCUUUCAGAGCAGUGUAGCUGAAGUCCAUGUGAAGCUCCCCCUUAUUGCAGAAACCAAAUUAGGUUUUAUGUCUAGAAGUUUCCUAAUGAUUAUUGUUGAUCUGUCCAUAAAUGGAAGGAGGCACCUCUGAAGUUGGUAGGUUCAUUUUCUAUCCUUAAAGAUAUCAAACAGAAAUUAGAUACAUACUCGUCUAGAAUAUAAUAAUAAUAAUUCCAUAAUAGGAAUUCCUUUCAUUCAAAGAUUGGACUAAUUGGUUACUGAGAUCCUUUUCUAACUCAUAUUUACACAAUACUGUUAUUUUAUGAAACUUGACUAGAAGUCUUCAAAUGUCUCUUUGCAUUGUAAAUUUAUGAUUCAAAUGACUAGAUACUUCUUUAAAAAGUCAGUGCCAUCAACUGACAGUGGUCAUGCAUAAAUAGACAGUUGAAGAUAUUUUAUUUUCCUUUGUCUAUAUAAAAUAUGCUUUCAGUUUUUUUAAUAUGGAAACAUCAAGAGCUAACAAAAUAUAUAAGAAAAUCUCUCUCAAGUCUCCUGCUGAUCAAACUUAUUAGCCUUCCAUGCCUUAGUGGGCCACUUGAUGAAUACUGGGAGGCAAACAAAUGGAUCCUUUGCUGACCAGCCCUCCAAAAAAAGAACCUUUGAACUAAUCUAGAUGGUGCUCCACUAAAGUUGUUAAGAUCAUUGUCUUGCCUCUCCUCAAAACUUUUUUUGUUUUGGUAUGACUCAUAAGAAUGUGACCAACUAAUAUAACCUUUGAAAAGCCAAGGACAUGCCCACUGUAGCAUAAGGCUCUGUAAGGGAGGAAUUAGCAAAGAAUAACACCAAUGCCUUAGAAGUAUUAUUAUUGGACUUAAAGGUUUGGUGAAUAUGACAUAGGAAGAUAUAAAAUGAAAGAAUAUUUCUGGUCUUUCUUGACUGAUGGUCUUAACACCUUUGGAAAGCCAUAUGUCGAGGAGGGUGGCAUUAAAAGAAAUAUGAAGUAGAGAGAUUUGUCUAGUUCUGGUCUUUACCUUUUUCCAUCCAGCUGUGUUCUAAAUUCUCAGACCCCCAUUCAAAGGAGAUAGUGAGCUUCAACUUGGGAUAGAAGAAAGAGGGAGUUGAUUUUGAUAAAUAUAGAAACUGUUCUUAUUCUCAUUAGAGGGGGAAAUGCAAUAAAACAAGUAAUUUUUUUUUCCUUUUUGGCCA